rnacentral:rRNA from 1 species
AUUGAACGCUGGCGGCAUGCCUUACACAUGCAAGUCGAACGGUAACAGGUCUUCGGAUGCUGACGAGUGGCGAACGGGCGAGUAAUACAUCGGAACGUGCCCGAGAGUGGGGGAUAACGAGGCGAAAGCUUUGCUAAUACCGCAUACGAUCUCAGGAUGAAAGCAGGGGACCGCAAGGCCUUGCGCCCACGGAGCGGCCGAUGGCCGAUUAGGUAGUUGGUGGGAUAAAAGCUUACCAAGCCGACGAGCUGUAGCUGGUCUGAGAGGACGACCAGCCACGCUGGGACUGAGAGACGGCCCAGACUCCUACGGGAGGCGGCCGUGGGGAAUUUUGGACAAUGGGCGCAAGCCUGAUCCAGCCAUGCCGCGUGCAGGAUGAAGGCCUUCGGGUUGUAAACUGCUUUUGUACGGAACGAAAAGACUCUGGUUAAUACCUGGGGUCCAUGACGGUACCGUAAGAAUAAGCACCGGCUAACUACGUGCCAGCCGCCGCGGUAACAC